UCCAACUUGGUACGUGACUGCAAUUUGGGAUGAUAACCAUGACAUCAGAGGGAUGCUAAGUUAAUCAAACUCUUUUUGGUGGGAAUUAAUUAAAAGAUUUGGAAUCCAUCUAAUUGUGAAGUAAUCAGCUGCAUGUGGUCUCUUGUUUGGAUAAGGAUCAUGAUGUGGUCAGUGAGACUGAAAGACUUGGUAGAAAGAUCAAGAUGCCUUGGUUGAGAUGCAUGGCUAGAAGAUAAAAUUGCAUGCUAAUUAUUUUCCAGCACUUGGAGGCCAUUAAAUACUUGGAUUAGGAUUGAUUUGCACAAAACAAAGAGAUAAAGAUGGAUUCCGCAUGGAUAUGGUUGCUUUCAAAUACAAUAUUCUCAGGAAUAUUAUAGUGAACGUGGAUUUACGGCAACAGUUGGUUAUGUGGUCAUCAAACUUUUGCGUUCUUAUAAAUACAAAGGCAGUGGCAACGGAAAAAGCCUUUCCAAUUCAACAUACAAACUGCCCUGUGCAAACUCUCACUCUACGCAAAACCUCUCAACAAUCUUGAGAUUUUUAUUUUCUUUUUCCGCCAACACAUCUUCAGUUUGGAUAAACAGCACUGCUUCUCGGCCGACUGAUUACCCAUCCAAGUUUCAAUCGACAAGGAUUUUUGAGUCCUUGUUGAUAGAGGUCACCUCAUCAGCCUUCUCGGUGAAGUGAGGUGUUACCAUGUUACUACAUUCGGCACAUUGAAAGCCAAAUUUGAUAUUGAACUUUGCAGAACUAACAGCCUUGUCUUCAGGCUCUAGAACCCGAAUGCCGAUACGUGUUCCUUUCUCGACUGCAGUCACAAGAUCAAGAAGUCAGCAGCCUUCCCGGCCGAACUCGGCCGACUAGUUGGCAGGCCCCGCACACAACCAAAUGACGUAAUUAGCUUAUUAAUUACUCGGCCGACGAGUUGGCAUGCCCCGCACACAACCAAAAAAGAUAAUUAGCUUAUUAAUUACUUGAUUUUGCAGAUUCCAUUUCGGAUGGGAGGGAACAGCUGGGGCUGCAUAUUAUCUGCGCUGCAGCUCUUUAAGGUUUGGUUGAUGUUGUUGGGGUGUGUAUAAAUUUUUUCUGUGGUGUAAAUUGCCUAGUUUAUGGAUUUAGUGUUUGCUACCAUCAUUAAUUGUUAUUGUUAUUAUUGUCGAGACCA